rnacentral:rRNA from 1 species
CCUACGGGAGGCAGCAGUAGGGAAUCUUCCACAAUGGACGAAAGUCUGAUGGAGCAACGCCGCGUGAGUGAAGAAGGGUUUCGGCUCGUAAAGCUCUGUUGGUAGUGAAGAAAGAUAGAGGUAGUAACUGGCCUUUAUUUGACGGUAAUUACUUAGAAAGUCACGGCUAACUACGUGCCAGCAGCCGCGGGAAUACGUAGGUGGCAAGCGUGUUCCGGAUUUAUUGGGCGUAAAGCGAGUGCAGGCGGUUCAAUAAGUCUGAUGUGAAAGCCUUCGGCUCAACCGGAGAAUUGCAUCAGAAACGGGUGAAAUUGAGGGCAGAAGAGGAGAGUGGAACUCCAGGUGUAGCGGUGGAAUGCGUAGAUAUAUGGAAGAACACCAGUGGCGAAGGCGGCUCACUGGUCUGCAACUGACGCUGAGGCUCGAAAGCAUGGGUAGCGAACAGGAUUAGAUACCCUUGUAGUC